rnacentral:rRNA from 1 species
UAGGGAAUUUUGCACAAUGGGCGCAAGCCUGAUGCAGCAACGCCGCGUGAGUGAAGAAGGCUCUUGGGUCGUAAAGCUCUUUCGGCUGGAAAGAAGGGACCAUCUGCGAAUAGUUGGUGGUUCUGACGGUACCAGAAGAAGAAGCACCUGCUAACUUCGUGCCAGCAGCAGCGGUAAUACGAAGGGUGCAAGCGUUGUUCGGAAUUAUUGGGCGUAAAGCGCGCGUAGGCGGGUUGGUAAGUCGAUUGU